GUUGCAUGUUAGAAAGAGAUGGUCGCAUGCUUCUUCUUCAGUGCAAUAUGAGGAGCAGAAUGGUUGAACAUCAAUAUUCGUUGUUCUUAGAUUGGUUGCUGUUAGGAAUUUCUAAUUGUAAAUUUCUAUUAUAUCAAUAUUAUGCAUAAAAAGAAACUUUUAUUAUAUCAAAUUGUAAAUGUAUUUUGUUAUUGGGCAUCCCUCUGAAUUUCUAAUGUUGGUCUCCAUUGCUUGGAAAAAAGAUAAUCACCUUAAAUCUCAGUUCUUUUCUGGGC
rnacentral:lncRNA from 1 species